rnacentral:rRNA from 1 species
CCUACGGGUAGCAGCAGUGAGGAAUAUUGGUCAAUGGACGAGAGUCUGAACCAGCCAAGUAGCGUGAAGGAUGACUGCCCUCUGGGUUGUAAACUUCUUUUAUAAAGGACUAAAACGAGGCACGUGUGCCUUUUUGCAUGUACUUUAUGCAUAAGGAUCGGCUAACUCCGUGCCAGCAGCCGCGGUAAUACGGAGGAUCCGAGCGUUAUCCGGAUUGAUUGGGUUUAAAGGGAGCGUAGAUGGGUUGUUAAGUCAGUUGUGAAAGUUUGCGGCUCAACCGUAAAAUUGCAAUUGAUACUGGCAGUCUUGAGUACAGGUGAGGUAGGCGGAAUUCGUGGUGUAGCGGUGAAAUGCUUAGAUAUCACGAAGAACCCCGAUUGCGAAGGCAGCUUACUAAACUGCCACUGACAUUGAUGCUCGAAAGUGUGGGUAUCAAACAGGAUUAGAUACCCGGGUAGUC